AUUGAACGCUGGCGGCAGGCCUAACACAUGCAAGUCGAGCGGAUGAAGGGAGCUUGCUCCUGGAAUCAGCGGCGGAAGGGUGAAAAAUGCCUAGGAAUCUGCCUGGUAGUGGGGGAUAACGUCCGGAAACGGGCGCUAAUACCGCAUACGUCCUGAGGGAGAAAGUGGGGGAUCUUCGGACCUCACGCUAUCAGAUGAGCCUAGGUCGGAUUAGCUAGUUGGUGGGGUAAAGGCCUACCAAGGCGACGAUCCGUAACUGGUCUGAGAGGAUGAUCAGUCACACUGGAACUGAGACACGGUCCAGACUCCUACGGGAGGCAGCAGUGGGGAAUAUUGGACAAUGGGCGAAAGCCUGAUCCAGCCAUGCCGCGUGUGUGAAGAAGGUCUUCGGAUUGUAAAGCACUUUAAGUUGGGAGGAAGGGCAGUAAGUUAAUACCUUGCUGUUUUGACGUUACCAACAGAAUAAGCACCGGCUAACUUCGUG
rnacentral:rRNA from 1 species